UUCCUUUCAGAAUUUAUUUUCAAUAUUGUCCAAAAUUAUUUUCUUUGUGGGUAUCUUACUCUGCUUAGUGGAAAUAAUCUGUCACUUGUAAACUGAUUUUGAUCUACUUUGAAUUCCCUUAGGGAAGAGAUUUAAUGAAACAAGUAAUUGAAAAUAGUUUUUCAAAAAUUGUGUCACUGUAUUAGUUUACAACUUGAAAUGGAUUUCUCAUAGGAAUAGUAUUUAAAAGAUCAGGAUGUAGUGACCUAAUAAUAUUAGGGUAAAUUCAGGUCAUGAAUAGGAAGGGAGAAAAGAAUUUCUGCUCCUUUAUAACAACCUAUAUCUGGUAUGAGAUAAAAAUUCAAAAUAGACAAAGCUUAUCUUUGUCCAUCCCAUUUCUGUUUCCUUCAUUUUAUCUGAUUCUUCACAACUUUAUUUAUUUAGAACUCAGGAUGUCCAGAUGCCUGAACUUUUUCACUGAUAAUAGAUCUUGUAUGGGCUGAUUCAGCUGAGCCAGUUGUGGUUUUUAAAGGCUCAGUCUGGUGCAGGAUGUUGGAUCCCACGCAGAAUGAGAAGGGCAUGCAUUUUGGGAAGUGGCAUGGCAGAGUGAGCAGUGGUGGCUGUGUAGCAUGGAAUGUUGGAGCACAAAAGAGUGAGGAGGGCAUUCAUAUACCAAAUGAGGGGUGUUAGAUCCUGAGUGGGUUGCAGGGGAGGAGGGUGAGCACAUCUGUUUGGGGAACAACAGUGGCAACAGCCUAGUAUAGGAUAUUGGAACCUGAGCAGAGGGAGGAGGAUAUCUGGAAGAAGGAUGGCAUGAGGCAGCUGACAACUCAGAGUAAGAUGUCAGAACCUGCUGGGCGCAGUGGCUCACGCUUGUAAUCCCAGCACUUUGGGAGGCCAAGGCGGGUGGAUCACCUAAGGUUGGGAGUUUGAGACCAGCCUGACCAACAUGGAGGAACUCCUGUCUCUACUGAAAAUACAAAAAUUAGCCAGCUGUUGUGGCAUGUGCCUGUAAUCCCAGCUACUUGGGAGGCUGAAGCAGGAGAAAUGCUUGAACCUUGGAGGUGGAGGUUAUGGUGAGCCGACAUCAUUGCCAUUGCACUUCAGCCUGGGCAACAAGCGAAACUCUGUUUCAAAAAAAAAAAAGUCAGAACCUGAAUGAGGUGAGACAGGUGUAUUCAUGCUGGGGUGUGGUUGUGGUGACAGGAGAUUGGUUAUAUAUAGGGAGAUUGGUUAAAUACAGGCAUACCUCAGAGAUACUGUAGAAUUGGUUCUAGACCACUGCAGUUCCAAAAGUAUUCUUUAGUUAUAGACCACCAAAGCAAGUUACACAAAUUUUUUUGGUUUCCUAGUACAUAUAAAAGUUACAUAUACACUGUGCUGUAGUGUAAGUUUGUAAUAGCAUAUGUGUAAAACAACAAUGUAUAUGCCUUAAUUUAAAAAUACUUUAUUGCUGGGCCAGGUGCAGUGGCUCCCACCUGUAGCCCUAGCACUUUGAGAGGCCAAGGUGAGAAGAUAGCUUGAAGUCAGAAGUUCGGCCAGCCUGGGUAAUGGCAGCUCCCACCUAUAGCUCUAGCACUUUGGGAGGCCAAGGUAGGAAGAUUGCUUGAGGCCAGAAGUUUGACCAGCCUGGGCAACAUAGUGAGACUCCACGUCUACAAAAAAAAAAAAAAGCUGGAUUUGGUGGUAUACACCUGUAAUCCCAGCUGCUCAAGAGACUGAGAUGGAAAGAUGGCUUGAGCCCAGGAGGUCGAGGCUGCAAUAAACUGUGAUUGCGCCACUGGAUUCUGGCCUAGGUGCUGGAGUGAUAUCCUGUCUUAAAAAGAAAAAACCUUCAUUGCUAAAAAAUUCUAAUGAUCUUCUGAGCCUUCAGUGACUGUGUAUAAUCUUUUUGCUAGUGAAAAGUCUUUCUUCGAUGUUGAUAACUGCUGACUGAUCAGGGUGAUGGUUGUUGCAGGCUGGAGUGGCUGUGGCAAUUUCUUAAUACAAGACAAUAGGCUGGGCACAGUAGCUCAUGCCUGUAAUCCCAGCACUUUGGGAGGCUGAGGCAGGUGGAUCACAAGGUUAGGAGUUCAAGAUCAGCUUGGCCAAGAUGGUGAAACCCCCGUCUCUACUAAAAAUACAAAAAUUAGCCAGGCAUAGUAGUGGGUGCCUGUAAUCCAAGCUACUUGGGAAGCUGAGCAGGAGAAUUGCUUGAACCCAGGAGGCGGAGGUUGUAGUGAGCCGAGAUUGCACCAGUACACUCCAGCCUGGGAAGCAGAGUAAGACUCCGUCUCACAAAAGAAAGAAUGUGUGUGUGUGUGUGUGUGUGUGUGUGUGUGUGGUUUGCCACACUGAGGUUUGCCACAUCAGUUGACUCUUAUUUUCAUGAAAGAUUUCUCUGUAGCCUGAGAUGCUGUUUGAUAGCAUUUUACCCACAAUAGAACUUUCAAAAUUGGAGUCAGUCCUCUCAACCAUGCUGCUGCUUUACAACUAAGUUUAUGUAAUAUUUGAAAUCCUUUGUUGCCAUUUCAACAAUGUUCAUAGCAUCUUUACCAGGAGCAGUUUCCAUCUCAAGAAACUACUUUCUUUGCUCAUCCAGAAGCAGCAGUUUCUCAUCUAUCAAGCUUUAUCAUGAGAUUGAGGCACUUCAGUCACAUCUUCAGGCUUGACUUCUAAUUCUAGUUCUCUUGCUAUAUCAACCACAUCGACAGUUUUCCCUCCACCCACAGAAGCCUUGAACCCCUCACGAGAGUUGAAAUUAACUUCUUUCAAACUCUUGUUCAUGUUAAUAAUUUGACUUCCUCCCAUGAGUCAUAAAUCUUCUUAAUGGCAUAUGGGAUGGUAAAUUCUUUCCCAGAAGAUUUUCUAUAUACUUUGCCUAGAUCCAUCAGAGGAAUUACUAUUUUUUUUUCUUUUUGAGACAGGGCCUUUCUGUGUCACCUAGGCUGGAGUGUGAUGGUGCCAUCUUGGCUCACUGCAACCUCUGCUUCCUAGGUUCAAGCAGUUCUCCUGCCUCAGCCUAGCAAGUAGCUUUUGAUAUAAAAUGAGAAACAUUCAGCUCUUCCUUUUGCUUGAAGAGUUAGAGGUCACUGUAGUGUUAUUAAUUGGCCUAAUUUCAGUAUUGUUGUGUCUCAAGGAAUAGGACAGUACAAGGAGAAGGAGAGAGGUGGGGAAUGGCCGGUUGGUAGAACAGUCACAACACACAACAUUUACUGAUUAAAUUCGCUAUCUUAUAUGAGUGUGAUUUGUGUUGCCUCCUAAAAUUUAUAGUAGUAACAUCAAAAAUCACUGAAUGCAGAUUACCAUAACAAAUAGUAAUAUAACAAUAAUGGAAAGGUUUGAGGCCAGGUGCAGUGGCUCACACCUGUAAUCCCAGCCCUUUGGGAGACUGAGGUGGGCAGAUCAUGAGGUCAGGAUUUCAAGACCAGCUUGGCCAACAUGAUGAAACCCCAUCUCUACUAAAAAUACAAAAAUUAGCCAGGCAUGGUGGUGCAUGCCUGUAGUCCCAGCUCCUUGGGAGGCUGAGGCAGGAGAAUCAUUUGAACCUGGGAAAGGGUGGUUGCAAUGAGGGAUCACGCCACUGCACUCCAGCAUGGGUGACAGAGUGAGAUUCCAUUUCCAAAAAAAACUGAAAUAUUAGGAGAAUUACCAAAAUAUGACACAGAGUCAUGAAGCAAACACAUGUUUGAAAAAUGGCACUGAGUUUCUGGGAUCAGCGCCUGGCCUGUGCCAGCUUUGCAGAUCCCAUCUGGUGCAGACCCUUGUGGCCGGGGCAAGGAGGGGCCUAAGUAGCUGGCCAGCGGGUGCUGCCGCCUGCGGGUCCCAGAUCCCUUGGGGACAUCUGCAUUGCUUCAGAAGCCCAAGACUGUGAAGUGGAAGUUCAGCGUGGCAGGCAGUAGCUUCUCAAAGGUACUGUGCAAGGGCUGCCUCUGGUUCCAGCUCCCUGAGCAUGGCUCCCGGCUGUGCCUGCACAAGGAUGGCACAGAGCUGACCAAAGUCUACUUUCCCAGCAUCCCUGACAACUCUGAGCUGAUGCUGCUCACCUUGGGCCAGGCCAGGCAAGGCUAUGUGAGUGACAUUGGGCGCUUCCUCAGUGCAUUUCACGAGCCGCACGUGGGGUUCAUCCAGGCCUCCGGGCAGCUGCUGUGUGAUGAGCAGAGGCAGAGGUUGCUAGCCAACCUCCUGCACAACACGAGCCAGAAUAUCAUGGCAGAGACCCUGGCUGAGGACCCGCUGUGGUUUGAAGGCUUAAAGUCCCAAUUUCGGAAUAAGUCUGGCUAUCUGAUAUACAAUUGUGAGAGCCGGAUCCGAAGUUACCUGAGAGAGGUGAGCUCCUACUCCUCCAAGGUGGGUGCAGAGGCUAAGGAGGAAUUCUUGUGAAUCCUUGGCUCCAUAUGCCAGAUACUCCAGUCUGAGCAGUACAACGGCAGCUACUUGGACAGCACUGGCACUACUCCGGUGUGCAGAGGCAAGGGCGGCGGCCGUCUCUGCGCACCGCAAGGUUGGUUCUCCUGCCAGGGCCCCUUCGACAUGGACGUCUGCUUGUCGAGACACUCACAUCAACCCCUAUAGUAAUAGGGAGAGCAGGAUCCUCUUCAGCACCUGGAACCUGGAUCACAUAAUAGAAAAAAGAAUGUACCAUCAUUCCUACACUGGGGGAAGCAGUUAAGGAACAAGACAGAAGAGAAGUGAACUGGGAAUAUUUUUAUGGCCUGCUUUUUACCUCAGAGAACUUAAAAUUAGUGUACAUUGUCCUCCAUAAGAAAACCACCCACAAGCUCAACUGUGACCAUAACAGAAUCUACAAACCCCAGACAAGGUUGAAGAGGAAGCAGCCUGUGUGAAAGCACCAGUGACACAUACACACCAUGUUCUUUUCUUUGUGUGAGGCCUGAUAGGCAUAAUUUUAACAGGUGCCUUUUUAUUUUUUUUGGUCACUCCAGUAGCUCCUGGGAAAAACCUUAAAAAAUGUUUCCUGUAUAUCUGAUUUCAGUACAUUUCUGAAUCUGUGUGUGUGUGUGUGUGUGUGUGUGUGUGUGUGUGUUUUGUAGACGGAGUUUCACUUUUGUUGCCCAGGCUGGAGUGUAGUGGCAUGAUCUUGGCUCACUGCAACCUCUGCCUCCUGGGUUCAAGUUAUUCUCCUGCCUCAGUCUCCUGAGUAGCUGGGAUUAUAGGCAUGCACACUAUUCCCGGCUAAUUUUUGUAUUUUUAGUAGAGAUGGAGUUUCGCCACGUCAGUCAGACUAGUCUAAAACUCCUGACCUCAGGUGAUUCACCCGCCUCAGCUUCCCAAAGUUCUGGGAUUACAGGUGUGAGCCACCACACUGGGCCUGAAUCAAUUUUUAUACCUUCUGACAGCCCAACUUCCAGAGGACAGCUUUGGGGUGCUCACUGGAUGUCUGUGAGUUCCUGGUCAUACUGGUCAUUAGGGAUAAGAAUUGUCUCUGAGCUGAGGAAUUCUUCUGUUAUUUGGUUUGCUCAUGUAGUGUGGUCACCAUACUAAAAUGGUGUCAUGGCUGAAGUUGGCCACUUUUGCUUGAGGGACAAGUUGUUUAUGCCUCAGGUCGCUGCUGGUUCUUCAUUUCCAUGGCAAAUGGGCAGCUCCAUCCUUCUUGACUCUUUUUAUAUGCCCAAAAGAGAGGUGUCAUGCUUUGGGGGUAAGAUGUUUGUACUCCAUAAAGAACAUACGAGGACAUUCACUGCUGAUUUUUUUUUUUCUUUUUUUUGAGACAGGGUCUCACUCUCACCCAGGCUGGAGUGCAGUGGUGCAGUCUCGGCUCACUGCGACCUCUGCCUCCUGGGUUCAAGCGAUUCUCCUGCCUCACCCUCCCAAGAAGCUGGGAUUACAGGCACCCACAACCAUGGCUGACUAAUGUUUGUAUUUUUUGUAGAGUCCAGGUUUCACUAUGUUGGCCAGGCUGGUCUUGAACUCCUGACCUCAGGUGAUCUGCCCACCUUGGCCUUUCAAAGUGCUGGGAUUACAGGCAUGAGCCACCACACCUGGCAUACUGAAAUGUUUAUAACGGCAGGAAACCUCCCAAUGUCUAUGAGUAGGACCAUCGCUAUUAUGUUGAACCACAUGAAACUGCUGUUUUUCUAGGCCCAAGAUGGUCAGCUAUCAUAAUUUCAUGAUUCAACCUGAUACAUUUACGUAGUGCAAAACUAUGUCACAGUUUCAAGCUUUUAUGAAGAAAGUGUUUCUCUGUAGAAGCUGGAAGCUGUUCAGUGCACUGGAAGCUGAACCCUGCUCUGUUUAUCAGAGUUACUGUCAUCUCAGAUAAUAUGGAGCUCAUGUCAGCAGUGCAGGCAGCGGGUGCGCAGAGACAGUCUAGAAGGAAACAUGCCAAACUGAACAGCAGUAAUCCUGAGGGACACAGAAGUGGGACUGGAUUACAGAGGGCCCAUUUUCAAAAGCAUGUAUUUUAUGAUACUUGAAUUUUUUGAAAUGGGCAUUUUAUAACAUGUUAAAAUGUACCUUUAAAAAAGUCAUUUGUAAUAUUUGAAUUUUUACAUUUGUUAUAUAAUCAGGAAAAGCAAUACGAAUUUUCUAAAAAUGAAAAAUGGCACUGAUAGGCUUGCUUGUCUUGUGAUUGUUGCAGACCUUCUAUUUAUAAGAAAACACAAUAUAUGUGAAGUGCAAUAAAGCAAAGUGCAACAUAUGCCUGCAAGUACAUAUGUUGAUGAUGAAAGGACCCAAGAUUCUCACUGUCAGAAAAGGGAGUUAUGUAUGUGAAAAGGAAGAAAAGCUUGUGGUGGUAGAGUGGAAUUGGAGGUACUGGUGUGAACUCAUGGUUUUCAAAAUGUAUUGAUAUACCUAGAAAUAGAUAUGGAUGUAAAUGUGGAUAUGUGUGUCUGUCUGUCUGCGUGUGUAGACAUAUUCUCUAGCUCUGUCCACUGAGAGGGCCUAGAAACAUUGCUACUCCUUAGCAAUUAGCACGCUUAGAAGCCAGGUCUUAUUUUCUAAAUACAGUUAUCCACUGAAAGGACCCAGAGCUCAGAGCAAUGACUGACUCCAGGGCAGGAGGAAGGUAUAAGAUGAGCUUGGAACAUAUUGUGCCAGAAAGUAAAGACGUGCUGAAAGAAUAUUUUAAAAGGACACAGCUUGCAAGGACUCCUGCCAGGGCAAUAUGAGCAUCAAAAUAAAUAAUGAUAGUAAUAGAUGGGAGUCAACUGAAUAAAAUGAAAAUCCAUGAGUGCAAACUAAGAAAUAAGUGAAUUAAUAAAUGGGUAGAAACGAAAGCUUUUUUUAAAGCAAUAAUUUGCUGAAUGAUAGAAUUAGAAAAAUAACAAUUUGAGAAUCAUGGUAAUAUUUAAUUCAGCUAAGGAACACAAAAGGAUGCUAAUAUUAGGCACAGUGGUUCACACCUGUAAUCUCUACACUUUGGGAAGCUGAAGUGGGAGGACUGCUUGAGGCCAAGAGUUUGAGAUCAACCUGGGCAACAUAGUAAGGCGCCGUUCCUACCAAAAAAAAAAAAAAAAAAAAAAAGAGCCAAGAGAAGAGUAGUCCCACCCAUUCAGGAGGCUGAAGCAUGAGGAUUGCUUGAGCCCAGGAUGUGAAGCCUGCAAUGAGCUACAAUUGUGUUGCUUA